UCCGUAGUGAACCUGCGGAAGGAUCAUUAAUGAGUUAGGGUCUCCUAGGCCCGACCUCCCAACCCUUUGCUUACUAGACCUCAGUUGCUUCGGCAGGCCCGUCUUAAUCUGACCGCUGGAGGACCGCCUAAUGCGGGUGUUACCUCUGGCCAGUGUCUGCCGAUAGCCUAAUCUCCUAACUCUGGAUCAAUCAUGAUUUACAAUGUCUAAGUGAUUUUAUUCAAUUAAAAGCAAAAACUUUCAACAACGGAUCUCUUGGUUCUGGCAUCGAUGAAGAACGCAGCGAAAUGCGAUAAGUAAUGCGAAUUGCAGAAUUCCAGUGAGUCAUCGAAUCUUUGAACGCACAUUGCGCCCUUUGGUAUUCCGAAGGCAUGCCUGUUCGAGCGUCAUUAUCACCCCCUCAAGCCCCUGUGCUUGGUGUUGGACGGCUUGGUGGAGCGAGUUCACACUUUCCACCCCUCCUAAAGACAAUGACGGCGGCCUGCGGAACCCCCGGUACACUGAGCUUCUUUAUUGAGCACGUAUCGGAUGAAGGGUGCCCGGGACCCGGUCUUCUCCCUCACGGGAACACUUUUUUUUUAAGGUUGACCUCGGAUCAGGUAGGAAUACGCGCUGAACUUAAGCAUAUCAAUAAGCGGAGGA
rnacentral:rRNA from 1 species